GUGCCAGCAGCCGCGGUAAUACGUAGGUGGCAAGCGUUAUCCGGAAUUAUUGGGCGUAAAGCGCGCGUAGGCGGUUUUUUAAGUCUGAUGUGAAAGCCCACGGCUCAAACCGUGGAGGGUCAUUGGAAACUGGAAAACUUGAGUGCAGAAGAGGAAAGUGGAAUUCCACUGUGUACGCCGGUGAAAUGCGCAGAGAUAUGGAGGAACACCAGUGGCGAAGGCGACUUUCUGGUCUGUAACUGACGCUGAUGUGCGAAAGCGUGGGGAUCAAACAGGAUUAG
rnacentral:rRNA from 1 species